rnacentral:misc_RNA from 1 species
GUCUUAUUGUCUAGGAGUUUUUGAAAAAUAAAGGAGCAAUAAUCCCCUUCUUCUUCUAUCAAGAAGGGGUAUUGCUCCUUUAUUUUCUUUAUUUUAUAUAUAUUCGAAUUUUGAUUUUUUUGAUUCUUUUAUUCUAUAGGAUCUUGGCAACCCUUUUGGUUGUUUUGUUACAUUUUUUAUAAUGUCAUUAUAAGUUUUUUAAUACUCUGACAGAUCAAAAUAUCUCCUAAAUAAUAAAAUAGAAAUCAAAUUGUCUAAAAUAGAAUCGAAUACUUCUUAGAUUAGAAUAUUAUUCUAGUAAAUAUAUUUACUAGAAUAAGAAAGGAAUAGAUUCUUCGAUUUAAUUUACUAAAAAAAGUAAAAUGAAUAUUUCAUAGAAAACAUAUUUCUAAAAUAUAGAAUAGUAAUAUUGCAUAUUCUAUAUUCUASAUUUAGAAUAUCUAUUAAUUARAUAUCGUGAAGGUUAUAUAUAGUGAAGGGGCGGAUGUAGCCAACUGG